rnacentral:rRNA from 1 species
AUUGAACGCUGGCGGCAGGCCUAACACAUGCAAGUCGAACGGUAACAGGAAGAAGCUUGCUUCUUUGCUGACGAGUGGCGGACGGGUGAGUAAUGUCUGGGAAACUGCCUGAUGGAGGGGGAUAACUACUGGAAACGGUAGCUAAUACCGCAUAACGUCGCAAGACCAAAGAGGGGGACCUUCGGGCCUCUUGCCAUCGGAUGUGCCCAGAUGGGAUUAGCUAGUAGGUGGGGUAACGGCUCACCUAGGCGACGAUCCCUAGCUGGUCUGAGAGGAUGACCAGCCACCCUGGAACUGAGACACGGUCCAGACUCCUACGGGAGGCAGCAGUGGGGAAUAUUGCACAAUGGGCGCAAGCCUGAUGCAGCCAUGCCGCGUGUAUGAAGAAGGCCUUCGGGUUGUAAAGUACUUUCAGCGGGGAGGAAGGGAGUAAAGUUAAUACCUUGACUCAUUGACGUUACCCGCAGCAGAAGCACCGGCUAACUCCGUG